UGGGGAAUUUUGGACAAUGGGCGAAAGCCUGAUCCAGCCAUGCCGCGUGAGUGAAGAAGGCCUUCGGGUUGUAAAGCUCUUUUAGUCGGAAAGAAAGAGUUGCAAUGAAUAAUUGUGAUUUAUGACGGUACCGACAGAAAAAGCACCGGCUAACUACGUGCCAGCAGCCGCGGUAAUACGUAGGGUGCGAGCGUUAAUCGGAAUUACUGGGCGUAAAGGGUGCGCAGGCGGUCUUGUAAGACAGAUGUGAAAUCCCCGGGCUUAACCUGGGAACUGCGUUUGUGACUGCAAGGCUGGAGUACGGCAGAGGGGGGUGGAAUUCCACGUGUAGCAGUGAAAUGCGUAGAGAUGUGGAGGAACACCGAUGGCGAAGGCAGCCCCCUGGGCCUGUACUGACGCUCAUGCACGAAAGCGUGGGGAGCAAACA
rnacentral:rRNA from 1 species